rnacentral:lncRNA from 1 species
GCUGUUGGCAGCCCCUUUAUCAGGAGGUGGGAAUGCCUGGGGCCCAGGCAAUGGGACAUCAAAUGUCCUUGACGGAGAAAGGGUAAUUUCAUCCAGGUUCCUCAAACACUCGGAAUGGAGCCAGCGUGUGGCACGCUGCAGUUGGCUUCUGGGUGCUCACAUCCAAGGCUGCGGAGCUGGUGUGGCAAGGAGACACCUACACGCCACGUCCACCACAGCUGAGGAAAAACAGUGCACCCAGGCAUGCCCCACCAAUGAGCGUGUGAAGGGACAGUGGACGCGCAUGGCAGCAUGCCGUGAGCCUCACAGAAGAGGGAAACAUGUCCUUUCUGACACACAGGUGAAUCUGGGCGAUGUUAAGUAAGACACACCAAGCAACAACAACAAUACCUGUGUGUGUGCGGUGCUGGGGACUGGACCCAGGACCUUCACACUGAGCUACAUCCCCACCUUUUCAUUUUCUGUUUUGAGACAGGGUCUCGCUAACUUGCUCAGUUGCCCAAGCUGGGCUCAAACUUGCCAUCCUCCUGCCUCUGCCUCCCAGUGCUGGGAUGACAGGCGUGCACCACCACACUUAGUUCCUGCUCUAACUUUUCAACAAAAUCCAUUACACUGUAGGAAAAGGUAAAAGAAAACUACGCGAUGGCUUUCUGGAUCUUUGUGUUCUAAACGCUGCCCUAACUUCUUGGAGAAGGCUUGUCGGUCAGUCGGGACUCAAGAAAGCCCUGGGCCUCCCAGGAGGCGCCGCCCCUCCUCGGCCCCAUGCACUGGCCUUGGGGAACCCUUCGGGUUGCCCAGACGCGAGGAUGGGGCUCCUCCUCCUCCACAGGCCCAGCACUGCCUCUGCUGAGGGUAGAUUUUGUUGGAUUCAUAUGCUUGUAGAAAGCAUAGAGAUACAAGUUUAGAAGGAGAAGCAGUCACAGUGGGAACAAGGAGAAGCGAGGAGAGAGGCCGCUUCCCUUGCUGGAGCCGGAGCUCGAGGGCCUUGGUUCCCAGCGCCUCUCCCGAGAGUUACACCUGCAUCAGCUGCUCCUAGGCUCAGACCCUGCCUUGGCCGUGGACCCUCCCUGCCCUUGCACUCUCCCCUCUCUCCGUGAGAUUUGUGACGGGGCCUCAGGCUGACGGCCAAGUUAGCAAGUAUUAAGAGGUACGUGCGCAUGUCAGUGCAUUCACAUGCUGAGAGAAUAAUAAAAUACAGGGCCGGGAUUUAGCUCAGUGGUCAUGCCUGCCUUGCAAGCACAAGGUCCCCAGUUCGAUCCCCGGUACCCAAAGAAACCAACAACAUACCUGCAUUUAUACACAGGUGCCUGAGCAACCAGGCACAAAUGUACAGCUGCCCCUGAAGUGUGUUUCCCUGCAAUUCAGCCUGUCCACUGCGGCCCCUCUGCACCUGGCUGGAGCCCAGAGGAGGACCUGGGCCUGCGACACCCUGCUCAUGCUCCGCCUGUCCUGCUCCCUCCAGGUCAGGGGUUUGCCGAGUCCUUCCCUUCCCUGCCCUGACCCCUGCCCUGACAAAGCCCUCCCGACGGAUGCAGGUGCCGGUAGAUAAAGGACAGGGACUGACGAUGUCUUACUGCAUCUGUGCACAUUUUAGUCAGUUCACCAAGCACCUCCCAGGCCGCAGGGCCCAGCGGGGCUGCGCUCCUGCCUGGCCCUACUGGUCCCAGUCCUUGACGAUGCUCAGGACGCCCCGCUCAGGGGCGGGGCCUGCCAGCCUGGCCAGCACGUCCAGCCCUCCGUGCUCCUUCUCCCUGGAGGACACAAAGUGGGCAGCUCCUGCACCCGGACCCCGGGGCGCCCGCCCGUGUCCCCGUCCCUGUCCCCGUGGCCUGCGCAGCUCCCGGAUCUGUGCGGGCCAGGCCGAUUGGGACCGCAGGGCAGGAGCCCGGGCACCGCUUACCGGAGGACAACGUUGCAUGCCUGCGCGGUGGCCGCUGACCAAGGCCUGCUGGCCCCGCUCCCCAACAUCGUUCCCGCUCACGUCCAGGUGCCUCAGCUCCAGGUUGGUGCCCGGCACAGCCGGCCAGGGCAAGGCAGCCAGCAGAGGUGAGGAGGCAGCGCUCCAGCCUGGGGCAGGCGGCAGGGUCAGCGCUGGGGGCUCUGGCCUCCCCCUCCCCCUCCCGGGCGCCCUUCCCAAGGGGCUGGGGAGCACCUCCUUCUCCCAACCCCACCCUGCCCCGAGGGUCCCAGCACCAACCCCAGGACAGGCGCUCUCACUCCAGGACAUGCAGGUGGCAGCUGGGGCACGCCAGGGCCUCGCACAGAGUGGCGGCGCCGUCAUCCCCGAGGGUCAUUGAGGCUGAGGUCCAGGCUUUGGAGGCGCGCUGCUCUCUCGAGAGCUGAGGCCACGUCCUGACAGCAAGCCGAGGUCAGAGCACACCUUCUCAGCCUGCAGAGGAGCCCGGGUCACUGAGCACCCAGACAGCCACAUUUGCUCCCCACUGCCCCCCUUGCAGAGCACUAAGUCAUUCCUAUUUCUCACUCUUCCCCAGGCUUUCUAGCUCUGGUGAAACAGAGAACUUGCUUUCCCUCACCAUGGCUUUCCUCCUUUUCGGACAUAUCCUGUGAAGUGCAUGGUGUAGUACGUGACCUUUGGGUGCUUGGUGUCUUCCACUUAGACUAUUCUCAAGGUUUCUCCAUGUCUUAGCAUGAACCAGCAUGUUCCUUUUUAUGGCUGCAUAGUAUUCCAGCGGCAAAGUUACGCACAUUUUCUUUGUUCCUUCAUUGGUUUUCAGACACAUGGGAUCUCGCCUCUUUACUCCUGUGAAUGCUGCAGGAAUAUGUGCAGGUUUUCGUGUGGAUGUAGGGCUUUAUUUUCUUGUGUUUGUGCCUAGCAGUGAGACCGAGGACUCAUGUGCUGACUCUGUCUUCCACCACUUGAGGAACAGCCAAGAACGUCUUCCUGAAGUGCCAGCACCUUCUCCUGCUUCUCCGGGGAAAGCUCAAAGUGUCAGUGCUUCCUCAGCAGGCAUGGGCGCGUGACCCAGAGGCCCACACCUGCAGACUCCGGCGACUUUUCCUCUCGGAGACACAUCGUCAUCGGCCUCACACUUGCCAUCCUCCUGCCUCAGCCUCCCAGAGUGCUGGGGUCACAGGCGUGCACCACCAUGCCUGGCUCCGUAUUUAAUUCUGUGCUGAACUUCCUCCCGUGACAGCCAAGUGAGACCUCCCCAGGAGGAAGGCAGCGUGACCUGGACACUGACCCUGAGCCCCCGCCCGGCUCUUGUGAUGAGCAGAUGUCGCCGUCCUGCGCAUCUGCAGGGCCCUGGGUGCCUGGGCCCCGCUAACCUGCCUCUUCAGUGGAAAUAACACCCUUUUCCUGACUGCUGUCCCCUGGCACAAGCAUGGCUCCAAUAGGCCUCUGUGGGUCACACGUGUGCCACAGACUAGAACACGAAGCAGGUGUGCUCGGCACUGCUCCCCGCACGCCGAGCCUCAAGGGGAGGCACCUGGGGACUCACACCAGCCUCUGGAGGGGCAGCGCCGCGCUUGCCAGGCUCUCCCAGAUGUGCCUCGCCCCUUCAUCCUUCAGGGCAUUGCCCGCCAGGCUCAGGUGCGUCAGCGUCCGGCUGCUCCCCAGGGAGACGGCCACGCCCGGGCAGGCCAGCUUCAUGAGCCCGCAGCCUCCAGCCUGGGGACAGAGACUCGAGCGUGAAGGCCUGCCAGCAGUUCCCUAUACCAAAAAUAUCCCAGCCAACCAAAGGAACAAACAGCCCCGCCCGCCCCUGUGAGACAGGAAAGGGAUGGCCCAGGAGGAGGAGAGGCGCAGAAGCCUGGCCUGCAGUUUAGAGCUAAGGCGGAGGCUGAGGUUGUGGAAAGCGUUCGUCAGGGAUCAGCGUGACGCAAUGAAAACGGGAUCCCGUUCCCACGCCACCGAGUGGAAAAGCGGUCAGAAAGCGGGCUGCGAAGGCUCAGAGGAGCUGUCAGACGCGCUAUGGGUGGACGGAGCCCGGAGGUGCGCAGCCCGGAGGAGCGCGACCUGCAGCACGGCCGCCCUGUGCAGCAACGCCCGCCACAGCACCCGUGUGUGUGUGUAUGCGCGCAGUGUGCGCGUGUAACUGUAAGAGCGGGCAGCAGGGCAAACCCCAGCCUGCAGGGCAGCAGAGAGCUCCCUGCACGUUCACACAAACAUUAACAUGGGCAGCGAAGAGGAGCCGACCGCAGAAGGGAGCAGGAAAAUACUGCUCAGAAAGGAGGGCUCCUUCGUGUGAGCAGUGUGGGGCUUAGCGACUCCUGCUUAAGGAUAAACGUGUGAUGAGGCCAGUGCUAAAAUGCCAGCCUUCCCCGCCUCGGAAUGGCCGCCGUGAGUGUGUCAGCGUGUCACCACUGUGAGCUCAGACGGGCUGGCGAGGUUCUGUUUGGUCCAGGGGCCGCCCCGCCAGCUGGGGCCGCGCCGUCACCCCAGGCUGCCGCCCAGCGGACUCACGCCAACCUCCGGAGCUGCCUCGCAGACACGAAGAUCGCCGCCGACAGCGCCAGGCAGGCUCCACUCAGCGCCAGGGUCUGCAGGUGUGCGCUGUCUUGAAGGUCGCGGGCCAGGAGGACCCACUCUCGAGGGGGGGCCACGCAGGACACCAGCCUGGGGGGGAUGCAGGACACCCACG